ACGCGCCAGCAUUUGCAAUCCCUCACCUGCAUGCAUUGCUGUUGAAUCUCUUGUUAGUAGUAUCGACGAGUAGGUGAUGGCAGCGAGGAAGAAGCUGUUUUCCCCUCUUCUCCUGUUGGCCAUGCUCCUCAUCGCGUCUAAGGAGGCGGGCAACAUGAGGAUGGUGGGCGCUGAGCAAUGCGAUGGCAUCAGGGACAACAUGUGCCCGGACAUCUCCAAGUCGUUUCUCAUCUGCGUACACUCGGGCGACUGCAACAAAUGCUGCCAAGAACAGGGCUACGUCCACGGCUACUGCUCCUUUCUCAGCUGCAAAUGCUGCAGAUAGCUCGCUCGCUCGCUUAUAUUAGUUACACACAAACUUAUAUAUUUCAGUUGCCUAUGCUUUACUACAAUUGUGAUAUAACAUAUAAAUAAGUAUUGUGAUAUUUAUUUAAAUAUAAUUAUUGUUUAUUUCUAAA